GCACUCGGAGAGUGGAUGGCACGGGCACAAGCAAAUAUGUUAACAAAAUAACUUUGGCUUAAAAAUAAUAAUAAUAAAAUAAAAUCAAAUAAACCAAUAAAUGAUACUAAAUAGUUGGGGUAGGGGGAAGAGCUGUAACAUAAACAACAAAGGUUAAGGUUAGGAAGGGGGUGAAAGAGGUUAUGUUUAGGUGAGAUGAAGGGGGUUAUGUUAAGGAAAGGAUAUAGGGGAGGGUUAGGGUUAGGAAAGGGGAUGGAGAGGUUAUGGUCAGGAAAAUAAAUAGGAGACAAACCCAACACCAACCUCCUCUUAAUACAAUCUCCCCUUCUAGGCGACAGGGACAAGUGUGUAUUUCUCGCCUAAGAAGGUCGCGGCCCGGAAGAGACGGCGUCGGGACAAAGGUCAAAGACCCCACAGAGCUGUGAAAAGGUUAGGGUCAGAUAGCUCUGCAUUUGCUGCAUUGGAUGGCAUAAACAACGUUGGUAGAAAGCAGCGAGAAGGUCUGCCGGAUGGGAGCGCCAGAUUGUAAAUUGGAGAUAUACUUUAGAGAGGUUGGCCCGGUCAGAUGGGAAGAGAGCGGCUACUUCCUGCUUGAUGGUACGGAGAAAGCGUCUGGAGUAACCGCGGGGUCUAAGGGCCUCAAAGCGGGUCCUUGUAGCCUCCUCUACAUGGUGGGGGAGAGAACAAAUACGAUGAAAACGAAUAAGUUGAGGUUUAAUAAUGGAACUAAAAGUGUGUCGGGGAUGGUAGCUGCUGCUAAAUAAUAAAGAGUGUCUGUCAGUAUCUUUAAAGUAUA